rnacentral:rRNA from 1 species
UACAGGGGGUGCAAACGUUGCUCGGAAUCAUUGGGCGUAAAGCGCGCGUAGGCGGUCUGUCGCGUCGGAUGUGAAAACCCAGGGCUCAACCCUGGGCCUGCAUUCGAUACGGGCAGACUAGAGUUCGGUAGGGGAGACUGGAAUUCCUGGUGUAGCGGUGAAAUGCGCAGAUAUCAGGAGGAACACCGGUGGCGAAGGCGGGUCUCUGGGCCGAAACUGACGCUGAGGAGCGAAAGCGUGGGGAGCAAACAGG